rnacentral:rRNA from 1 species
UGGGGAAUAUUGGACAAUGGGCGAAAGCCUGAUCCAGCAAUGCCGCGUGAACGAUGAAGGCCUUAGGGUUGUAAAGUUCUUUCGGUGGGGAAGAUAAUGACGGUACCCACAUAAGAAGCUCCGGCUAACUCCGUGCCAGCAGCCGCGGUAAUACGGAGGGAGCUAGCGUUGUUCGGAAUUACUGGGCGUAAAGAGCGCGUAGGCAGUUAAUUAAGUUGGUAGUGAAAUCCCAGAGCUUAACUCUGGAAUUGCUUUCAAAACUGGUUAACUAGAGGACGAUAGAGGAUGAUGGAAUUCCUAGUGUAGAGGUGAAAUUCUUAGAUAUUAGGAGGAACAUCAGAAGCGAAGGCGAUCAUCUGGGUCGUUACUGACGCUGAGGCGCGAAAGCGUGGGGAGCAAACAGG